rnacentral:rRNA from 1 species
GACGAACGCUGGCGGCGUGCCUAAUACAUGCAAGUCGAGCGAGACUCUUCGGAGUCUAGCGGCGGACGGGUGAGUAACACGUGGGCAACCUGCCUGUAAGACUGGGAUAACACCGGGAAACCGGUGCUAAUACCGGAUAAUCCUUUUUCUCUCAUGAGGAAAAGCUGAAAGUCGGUUUCGGCUGACACUUACAGAUGGGCCCGCGGCGCAUUAGCUAGUUGGUGAGGUAACGGCUCACCAAGGCGACGAUGCGUAGCCGACCUGAGAGGGUGAUCGGCCACACUGGGACUGAGACACGGCCCAGACUCCUACGGGAGGCAGCAGUAGGGAAUCUUCCACAAUGGACGAAAGUCUGAUGGAGCAACGCCGCGUGAGCGAUGAAGGCCUUCGGGUCGUAAAGCUCUGUUGUUAGGGAAGAACAAGUACCGGAGUAACUGCCGGUACCUUGACGGUACCUAACCAGAAAGCCACGGCUAACUACGUGCCAGCCGCCGCCGUAAGAC